UACGUAGGGGGCAAGCGUUGUCCGGAAUCAUUGGGCGUAAAGAGCGUGUAGGCGGUCCGGUAAGUCAGCUGUGAAAGUCAAGGGCUCAACCCUUGAAAGCCGGUUGAUACUGUCGGGCUAGAGUCCGGAAGAGGAGAAUGGAAUUCCUGGUGUAGCGGUGAAAUGCGCAGAUAUCAGGAAGAACACCCGUGGCGAAGGCGGUUCUCUGGGACGGUACUGACGCUGAGACGCGAAAGCGUGGGGAGCGAACAGG
rnacentral:rRNA from 1 species